GUUCUAGCUCAGUUGGUAAGAGAGUGGUGCUGAUAAUGCCAAGGUUGCAGAUUUGAUCCCUGUAUGGUGCA
rnacentral:tRNA from 1 species